UUUCAUUAAAGAAAAGCACUGACCGCCCACUGCGUGCCUUAUCUCAUCGCCGACGCCACUCCUCUCCUUCUUUUAUCCAGAUCGCCAAUUCCUCCGCUCAUCCUAAUCCAGCGCUGGUCCUCUUCUUCUUCUCUCACCAUCCAAUCUAGCCAAGAGCCGCACGUGCGCAGGGCCGUGGUGGCUGGCCAGUGCAGCACCCCCUAAUCGGCGAUGAACCCAGAGGCCGCCAUGGCUGGCGCCUUGGAGCUCCUCUGCCUCGUCCUGAUCUGGCCGUCCGCCCCAGUCAUCGGCCCCGUGCUCCGGAUCAGGCCAGAAGCCUCGCCUACGACCUGAUUCAGACUGCCUAGCCUUCGCCACCUGCGCCGUGCCCCAGAGGUUCGGCCGAUCCCGCGUCGCUCAUUCUCGCUUCUUCCACUGCUCGCGGCUCGCGUUGACUGCGAGAGGCCACAUGCCUCGUCCAACCACAUCCUCUCACUGCCUUGCUCCUCCACCACCACUCCUCUCCCUUCUUCCUCCCCUCCCUGCCAGCCAGGGCACUCUCCCUCUCCCGCCUCCGUUCGCCGCAGGUGAGUGCAUGGCUACGGGUGUCUGGCCAGCAGCAACAGCUGCGGCAGUUCCGCGCCCGGAGAAGCCGCGCGCUGGGCGAUGUGGAGGAGGACGACAUGCUGCUUCCUCAUUCGGGCGUCCUCCUCUGCGCCGUCGAGAGACGGCCAUGGCCGCCCGAUGCCCGAGCGCCGCCGGCCAAGGAUCCGCCGGCGUCCAGACCCCCUCCACGCCAUCCCCAUCUCGCCGGAGACCUACACCAAGUCACAUCCAGCGCUCGCGCCACCCUUCGGGCCCUGCCCCGCAGCUCUGCAGCCCGAGCGCUUCGGCCGCCUCGCACCCGAAGCAGAGGAGAGGAGCUCCCUACCACGAGCCUCUCCAGCCCCGGCAAACCAGCAGGCCGACCCCGCCUCCUUCUCACUUCCCUCCUCCUUCCUUUUUUUCCGCCGGGACGCAUCACCCCUUCCUUGGCUUCUGCGGAGUGGAAGCCGGCGGCAAGCUGCGGCCCGUGCCCGGCGGUGGAGAAGGCAAACGGGGUAGAAUUGUAACUAAUGCAGGGGCGUUUAUGUAAAUACGAAGUGUUUUCUCACGUACCACUUAAAAUAGGACUGCGGAUUGAAUUCUAAAAAAGGAAGGGGCUUUUCUGCAAAAGUGCAGACGACGUACAACCAGAAGCAAUCGCUGGUUUAUUAGUAGGUAGAGAUAGAGAUUUGCCCAGGCAAGACAAGGAUUCCAAGGACGGUCAAAAAUUGUAAGGCAGUCCAUGAGGGAGGAAGCUUGACGGGCCGUCCUGCUAUGUUGCUCACUUCUAAUUUUCAGUAAAAACAAAUGCAGCGCCCUGACGGACAAA